AGCAUCGGGCGUCCUCCUGUCUUUGCAGGGCUGACCCUGAGGAAGUGUGGUCCGUCGGUCGAUAGCAUGAAUAUAUAUAUAUUUUGUGGGUGCACAAAUCCUUUUCAGAGUGUCAGAGGAUAAGGGUUUUGUUCUGUUCAGCGUAAACAUUGUUCUGUUUGGUGUAUUUGUCGAAGACGAGAGUUUAGUGGGGGAGGUAGUCAGCUCUCUGGCUGGUUUGAGGUGGGCUAUACGUGUUUGUCGGUCACCUCUCACCUGCCAGUUGUUUUGAACUAGUUUUAUCUGGUUUUCCUUGGGAGUCACAAGGGGUUUGGGGCUCCCCGGUGGCGGGUGCUGUGGCCAAAAGAGAGAGCAGGGUCACAGAGUGCUUCAUUUAUGGGGCUGGCCUCGGCCAUCUCCUGCACAAACUUCUGGUAUGUAGCGAUCGGGAUUUGAUUUCCUGAAGGAGAGGAUGAUGGAGCUCAUCAUAAGAGCAUAAUCAUUUUCUCUUCCUUUGGCAGUACGGGCACCCGAGGGCCAGCCUGCUUUUGAGGAACAGCAUGAGGAUGUCGGUGUCGAUGCUCAGCAGUGGAAGGAAGCUUCUUUUGGAGGCCAAGAAGAUGAAGUGGAGUGUGUAUUUGUUGUGUUUGAUUUUCAUUGCGGGGAUGGGGAGGGGUGGGACAUGGAAAACGUGGUCCCAGGCAGGGGAGGUGUCUAUGAUGUGGGAGGCCGUGAGAGAGAUCAUGGACGCUGCUGGACAGGCGUUAGAACCCGUUGCUCAGGUUGGACGGACCCGGCAGAACCACCGCACCAUCUUAAAAGUGGGCCCGGCAUUGAAGGUGACGGUUCCCCAGCCAUCGGGGAUGGACCGAGUACGUGAGCAGGCGCCUGACGCGGCCACUGACCCGGGAGGCACGGAUCGGGAGGUGAGGGAGCCGUGUUGGCAUGGUAGGGGAAAGGAUGAGUCUGGAAUGUGGCUGUUGGUGGAGAUGCACGGCAGGGAGCCGGACACGGGAGGGAGGGGGCGAACAGAGCAUCGUGAGAAGGUAGGUCAGCACGUGACAACGGAGGGGUCGUGCAGUGCGAGCACCUAUGUGACUAGUUAACGAAGGGACUCACAAAACUACAUGCAAAGCGGGAUGUCUGCCCCCAGCUCGUCGGGCAAGGUGAGCGAUGAACAGGAAACCGUAGCAGCGGUUAUUUUUGAGGUGUGGAAUUGUUUGUGAGCGGGCGGCCGCUUCCAGGCGCAGCGGUCACCUUGUCUCUCUGGUUCUCUAGGCGCCGUAGGUGGCGGCGGCCACGACAUCCAGCCUCAUUAGAGCGUGGGCGAGCGGAAGUUCACGGCGCUUCCGAGGAGGCUGUCGUUGCGGAAGUGGCCGGCGUUGAGUGGUGCGACGCUGAGUGAUGGCACCGCACGUUUGGAGAUGAAGAGUGUCCGUGUGACCGCAGCCCCAUCCUACGUAGCCUGUGUGGCCUUUUUAAAGGAUGGCUUUUGAGCCCCCGGAUUUGGAAGGGAAGCUGAGGGGCCGAUGCGGUCUUUGUGCGGGUGGCCGGUCGGUUGGGGGAAGCGCAGGUGGGGCAGGCAGGGGUUGUCAAAUCAGUGGAGGGGACUGUUCAGAGACCGGACACGUUUGGGCCGAGAGAGGUUGUGUUGUCCUUUCUGCAAAACAGAAGCAUCUGCCAGGCAGGGGAGUUCCUGCCUGUGCUUGUGCUGUUGUGUGGAUUUUGUAGUCUGUCUUUGUUCCUUACUGUACUCGGGUCUCGAUGUGUCUGUUGUUCUCCGUGCUGAGCAGGCACCUAGGUAGCAAUAUUGAGGGUUUUGCAAGCCCUGGCUCAUCGGCAUAAUGGUAACCGAGAGCUUCCUUUCUCGCAUUUUAAGUCUACUGCAUAGAUUUGUCUUGUGUCUUAAAUAUUAGACCUUUAUAGAAGGUCGUCUUUUUGCGGCGGUGGUUAAGGCGGCCUCAGUUCUGCUGCUGAAGAGCAGUCUGAAUACGCAGGGCCCUUUUCUGGGACCUGUUCCCUGCACCUGAACGUUCUGAGGUCUUUAAGAGCGGCUCGUCGCUCGUGCAUCGUCCUAGUUGUGGGUAUAUGGUUUUUUCGCAGGUGAUGAUGGUACGUGACAUCUCCGCGGAUGCUAUAGCUGCUUCCUCGCUGCCCUGCAGAUCUUCUCGCCCGGUGGCAUCUCUGGGCCAGAAGUCCGUGGUCUCGAGGAUGAAGAUGGAGCUGUGCAGGGUGAUAGAGCAGAGCUGAGUAGAGCACACUAAGGCGGCGGGUCCGUGUGCAGGAUUAAAGGGAAGAUGCGACUGAAGGCUAUUUGAGGAGCAUUUCAGGUUAUAGUCGGUCUUCAGGAACCGUUAAGGUACUGCUGUGCAACCAGGCGACUUGUUUGGUAUUGGUUUUGGAGAUGCCGAGGGACGAGUCGUGCAGGGCGAUGGAGGGGAACUGAGGGGACCGAUGUAAGCGGGUGAGUUGGUGCGUGGUGUAUAUAGAGGGAAGAUGUGACCGAUGGCUCUAUGACUCCGUUGCUCCUUGCGUUUGUCUUUUGUUUUGGGUUUGAAGUAGCGUAGCAAUGAGCAAAGGAAGCAAGGCGAGUGGUGAUUGGUGGGCUGAAGUAGCAGCUCUUUUCUGAGGUGUUGUGUUGCUGGGGAAGUUAUAAGCAACGCGCGUUGUUCGGGUGUUACGGACGGCGGGCGAGCUGGACACGGCACCUGGAAGUGGCGUAGGCUGGGAGGGAGGCUGUCGAGGGAAAGGGGUGCGAGACGGGGAUCGGUGCGGGCAGGCUGUGGCAUCGGGCAGCAUCUCGGGAGGUGCCUUUUCGCUUGGCUUU